rnacentral:rRNA from 1 species
GAAACUGUAGCUAAUACCGGAUACGUUCAUGUGAUUGCGAUUAUGUGAAGAAAGAUGGCCUCUGACAUAAGCUAUCGUACAGGGAGGAGCUUGCGUACCAUUAGCUAGUUGGCAGGGUAAAGGCCUACCAAGGCGACGAUGGUUAGCGGGUCUGAGAGGAUGAUCCGCCACACUGGAACUGAAACACGGACCAGACUCCUACGGGAGGCAGCAGUGAGGAAUAUUGCGCAAUGGGGGCAACCCUGACGCAGCGACGCCGCGUGGAUGAUGAAGGCCUUCGGGUCGUAAAAUCCUGUCGGAUGGAAAGAAGUGUGAUGUGGUUAAUACCCAUGUCAUUUGACGGUACCAUCAGAGGAAGCACCGGCUAACUCCGUGCCAGCAGCCGCGGUAAUACGGAGGGUGCAAGCGUUGUUCGGAAUUACUGGGCGUAAAGCGCGCGUAGGCGGUUUGUUAAGUCAGAUGUGAAAGCCCCGGGCUUAACCUGGGACGUGCAUUUGAAACUGUCAGACUUGAGUAUUGGAGGGGGUGGUGGAAUUCCCGGUGUAGAGGUGAAAUUCGUAGAUAUCGGGAGGAAUACCGGUGGCGAUGGCGACCACCUGGCCAAAUACUGACGCUGAGGCGCGAAGGCGUGGGGAGCAAACAGGAUUAGAUACCCU